rnacentral:lncRNA from 1 species
CCACAUCUCAUGGUGGCUCCCCCUCUCCUUAGGCUGCUCCAGGUGUGUGCCCCCUGGUCUUGGGGGGAACUUGGGAAUCCUGCACCUGAAGAUGAAGGAUUCGGAUGAAGGACCACUUACUGAACACAUCCUCUGUGGAGCCAGGCACUUUAAAUUCAUCAUCUCCAUCCUCACAGGCACCCUGCAAGGAUGGAAAAAGUGCCAAAUUUUCUGGAGGCUCACCAUCCCUCUGGCAGAGAGUAAAGCACACAGAAGAGCCAGAGAACCCCUCCUGGGAGGAUGGAAGAUACCAGUCAGGACUCACAUAGCGUCCAGGGAUGGAGGGCAAGAUGGCAGAGGGCAAAAGGAAGGAGCCACUGGAAUGCUUCCAAGUCCUCUGAAGCUUCCGGAUGAAGGCUGAGGUAUUUCUGUGAAGGAAAUGCUGACCAGAGUUUCCUCUUCUUAGAGAAGUUCAUGUUUUUC